rnacentral:lncRNA from 1 species
CUUCCUGAAUGAGGGACCCCUCGCUUUUGAGAAGAGUCCAACUUUUAAGUUCUGGUCAUGGCCUGGUCCUUUGGUUCUGUAGGGAGGAGAAUCUUUGGUUCUGCAGUCAUUUCUAGUCAAUAUUUCUUCUUCGGUGCAUGCUCUGGGCACAUGGCUUUGCAAACUUUCUGAAGGGAAAUUCUUAAUCACCCUGUUGAUAAGAUGGGGUCAGUUGAACUGGUCCCGGAGGGCCCAUAGUUACAUGCUGAGUGAACAGUUAGAUGUAGAAAUGAGGGAUAGGAAGAAAGUUAGAAAUCCAACUGAGUCUCUAGCUUGAAGAUCUGAAAUAGGGAAUGUGGGCAGGAGCAGAUACUUAUGGAGAAAUUGACACUUUUUGAGCUCCUACUAUGUGCCAGAGUUUGCUAGACACUUAGCAUAACUGUUGGCAUUUAGGCAGUCAAGAAAUAGCAUUCUUAUUUUUCUCCCCAACUUGGAAACCAUUGAAGGAUACAACACAAGAGUUAGUCACAUGGAGAUCAAAAUCUCUGGCCAGCAUUGAUCUUGGGUUUGGAUUGACAAUUAAACUCAAGACACCAUAGGCUUCAUCUGGCAUUGUUUAGCUUUAGGAAAGGCUAUGGAUACAAUAACAGCAUGAAUGGACCAGCAGAGUAAAGUCCCAUGACGCCCAGGCACAGCUUCUGAGGUCCCCUACACUCUGCACUUGGAAUGCGAUGAAGGGAUUUUACUAGGUGAAGAUUCCUUUGUCAGCUGCUCUUGGAGCCUGUACUCCAGCACCAGCUCCACUGAAGCCUUUAUCAAUUGAACAUUUCAUAUUAAUCAAGGAGGAUAUGAUUUUGCUGGAGAACCAAUUGGUGCUGCUGUCACUUUUCACUCGUUUAUUAUAGGAAACACUGGCAUUUGUCAUUUUUCCAAUAUUUGGAGCUUGCUGCC